UGACCGGAUGCCGAUCUCGAAAACCUGUCCCAGUUCGGACUGGAGUCUGCAACCCGACUCCACGAAGUUGGAUUCGCUAGUAAUCGCGCAUCAGCCAUGGCGCGGUGAAUACGUUCCCGGGCCUUGUACACACCGCCCGUCAAGCCAUGGGAGCCGGGGGGCGCCUGAAGUCCGGGACCGCGAGGACCGGCCUAGGGCGAAACUGGUGACUGGGGCUAAGUCGUAACAAGGUACC
rnacentral:rRNA from 1 species